GACGAACGCUGGCGGCGUGCCUAACACAUGCAAGUCGAACGGAAAGGCCUCUUUCGGGGGGUACUCGAGUGGCGAACGGGUGAGUAACACGUGAGUAACCUGCCCUUGACUUUGGGAUAACUUCAGGAAACUGGGGCUAAUACCGGAUAGGAGCUCCUGCUGCAUGGUGGGGGUUGGAAAGUUUCGGCGGUUGGGGAUGGACUCGCGGCUUAUCGGCUUGUUGGUGGGGUAGUGGCUUACCAAGGCUUUGACGGGUAGCCGGCCUGAGAGGGUGACCGGCCACAUUGGGACUGAGAUACGGCCCAGACUCCUACGGGAGGCAGCAGUGGGGAAUAUUGCACAAUGGGUGGAAGCCUGAUGCAGCAACGCCGUGUGCGGGAGGACGGCCUUCGGGUUGUAAACCGCUUUCGCUCAUGACGAAGCUUUGUGUGACGGUAGUGGGUAAAGAAGCACCGGCUAACUACGUG
rnacentral:rRNA from 1 species